rnacentral:rRNA from 13 species
CAGGUGCCAGCACCAAUGGUAAAUUCGCCUCGACGAGCGUUCAAUUAUAUGAAGGUAUGCUUGGGUUGUUGCCCUGCAUACCAUAACGCUAGUAGGGGAACCAAUCAUAUCAGUGCAAUCGAAUUUUCGUCUCUUGUUUUUUUCGCGCUAAUAUACACCUUCGAAUGUUAUCUUGCUGCCAGACUCUCGCAACUCGCUUGGGACAAUAAGUGUUCGUCAUUAUCCACUUUGAUUUGAAAUGUUUUACUU